rnacentral:pre_miRNA from 1 species
ACUGACAUCCUAGAAGUGCAAAAGUAGAUUUUCCCAUCUUUGGGCUUUUAAGAUGUCAGCAA